AGAGUUUGAUCAUGGCUCAGAUUGAACGCUGGCGGCAGGCCUAACACAUGCAAGUCGAGCGGUAGCACAGAGAGCUUGCUCUCGGGUGACGAGCGGCGGACGGGUGAGUAAUGUCUGGGAAACUGCCUGAUGGAGGGGGAUAACUACUGGAAACGGUAGCUAAUACCGCAUAACGUCGCAAGACCAAAGUGGGGGACCUUCGGGCCUCAUGCCAUCAGAUGUGCCCAGAUGGGAUUAGCUAGUAGGUGGGGUAACGGCUCACCUAGGCGACGAUCCCUAGCUGGUCUGAGAGGAUGACCAGCCACACUGGAACUGAGACACGGUCCAGACUCCUACGGGAGGCAGCAGUGGGGAAUAUUGCACAAUGGGCGCAAGCCUGAUGCAGCCAUGCCGCGUGUGUGAAGAAGGCCUUCGGGUUGUAAAGCACUUUCAGCGGGGAGGAAGGCGGUGAGGUUAAUAACCUCAUCGAUUGACGUUACCCGCAGAAGAAGCACCGGCUAACUCCGUGCCAGCAGCCGCGGUAAUACGGAGGGUGCAAGCGUUAAUCGGAAUUACUGGGCGUAAAGCGCACGCAGGCGGUCUGUCAAGUCGGAUGUGAAAUCCCCGGGCUCAACCUGGGAACUGCAUUCGAAACUGGCAGGCUAGAGUCUUGUAGAGGGGGGUAGAAUUCCAGGUGUAGCGGUGAAAUGCGUAGAGAUCUGGAGGAAUACCGGUGGCGAAGGCGGCCCCCUGGACAAAGACUGACGCUCAGGUGCGAAAGCGUGGGGAGCAAACAGGAUUAGAUACCCUGGUAGUCCACGCCGUAAACGAUGUCGAUUUGGAGGUUGUGCCCUUGAGGCGUGGCUUCCGGAGCUAACGCGUUAAAUCGACCGCCUGGGGAGUACGGCCGCAAGGUUAAAACUCAAAUGAAUUGACGGGGGCCCGCACAAGCGGUGGAGCAUGUGGUUUAAUUCGAUGCAACGCGAAGAACCUUACCUGGUCUUGACAUCCACAGAACUU
rnacentral:rRNA from 2 species